rnacentral:rRNA from 1 species
GAGUUUGAUCCUGGCUCANGAUGAACGCUAGCGGCAGGCCUAACACAUGCAAGUCGAGGGGUAACAGGGAGUGCUUGCACUCCGCUGACGACCGGCGCACGGGUGCGCACCGCGUAUGGAACCUACCUUUUGCAGGGGAAUAGCCCAGGGAAACUUGGAUUAAUGCCCCGUAGUACUAUUUUGCGGCAUUGCAUUAUAGUUAAAGCCUUCGGGCGGCAAGAGAUGGCCAUGCGUCCCAUUAGCUUGAUGGUAAGGUAACGGCUUACCAUGGCUACGAUGGGUAGGGGCCCUGAGAGGGGGAUCCCCCACACUGGUACUGAGACACGGACCAGACUCCUACGGGAGGCAGCAGUGAGGAAUAUUGGACAAUGGAGGAGACUCUGAUCCAGCCAUGCCGCGUGCAGGAAGACGGCCCUAUGGGUUGUAAACUGCUUUUAUACGGGAAGAAAAACAGCUACGUGUAGUUGACUGACGGUACCGUAAGAAUAAGGACCGGCUAACUCCGUGCCAGCAGCCGCGGUAAUACGGAGGGUCCGAGCGUUAUCCGGAAUUAUUGGGUUUAAAGGGUCCGUAGGCGGGCCAUUAAGUCAGGGGUGAAAGUCUGCGGCUCAACCGUAGAAUUGCCUUUGAUACUGGUGGUCUUGAGUUAUGGUGAAGUGGCUGGAAUAUGUAGUGUAGCGGUGAAAUGCAUAGAUAUUACAUAGAACACCGAUUGCGAAGGCAGGUCACUAACCAUAUACUGACGCUGAUGGACGAAAGCGUGGGGAGCGA